UUCUGUGGUUCAGUUGAGAUUCAAAUCAAAGUAGGUAAAAGGUAACUAGGCCAAGGCCAAAGGUAGUUGAUGUUUUGAUUGAUUUGUCUUGUAGUUGUGGUAAUUAUCCUACCAAGUAUGCUCUAUCCCAACGGCCAGUUGACGAAGCAUGGCAAUUUCGACGAGAUGUUGUCAUCGUGGGGUUGUUCAGCUGGUGUGGGUUUGGUGCGUUGCGGAUUUGGCUUGGUGCAGCACAGAUUUAGUGUAGCGUGGUGCGAGUUUGGCCUGGGUGGUGUUUCACCGGUGAUAGUGAUUGCAGCACGCUGCUAUUACAUGUGUCAAAUUAGGUUUCCAUGGAGACAUCAACAAGCCCCAUUCACAUUGCUUCAACACAACCACAAGUGUGACGUCAGCAGAAUAGCAGCGUGCUGCUAUCACCGGUGAAACACCACCCUGGUGACGGACUUGACGGGGUGUCAAUAAAGCUGGAGUCACCUUCAGCGCCAGCCAGUAAAUGUGUAGAUAAAAGGAAGCUGAAAUUUAAAAACAAUCUAACCUCACCUAACCUAAUUUAUUGACUAAUAACAUACUAACCUAUACCCUACACCCUACCAACUGAUGGUGACACCAGCUUUAACAUAAACCGUAGGUUGUAGUUUAGUAGGUAAGGUUAGGUCAGGUUAGAUAAUGUUUUUUUCUGUUAGACUAAGUAGGUAUUUGAUUAGAUUUAAAAGCGAAUUUUGUGUAAAUGUCUCAAGAACUGGAGAGUCUAGCGACUUCACAAAUGGGUGGCAGCAUGUGAGAUGCCUGCUAUAUGAAUACCAGAAAUCCUUCUCUAUGCCUUAACCCCCUGUUCUGGGCUGGGCAGACAAUUUCAUCCCAUGUGGGAAGCUCCCCUAGGAGCAUACACGGAGCCAGGUGCAGUGUCAGGGGCUGGGUGCCCUGUCCACUGGAUGGGCUCAGCCCCAAUAACUUGUACCAGGGUGCUUGCCCAUACCAAUAGCUCCCCCUAAUUCCUAUCAUUCCUCCAACUCUGUAGUCUUUUUGGGCCAAAACUUGAAAGAGCCCAGCCCAACAAAACUUUAAAUUGAUUUUGUAACAUGUGGCAUAGUACUAACUAUUUUGCCAGUCUGGCAACAUCCCAUUACUGCCUUGACUGGCUUUCUUCUCUCUCAGGCUGAUCCUGUGUCACAGAGCCACAUAGAUGAGCAGCUACCCAUCGUAGGAUGCACACUCAACCUCCUGCUAGUUUCUGAGCCAAGUCAGCUUGACAGAGGGGUCUGCUAAUGCACAGCCACCUAGCCACUGCUAACAGAUGCUGGCUGGGACAGACGUUCAUCAAAGGUGUGCCACACGACAUGGGCAUUCUCGUUCUGCAUCAAGCCUCAAGGUGCCUCAGCCAAACGGCAGUGAGAAAUAAGGGUUGGAAUAAAAGAAGAGGACUGAGCAGAAAAUCCAUUUACCACAAUUUUAUCACUGUGGACCAUCGCGAAUGCGUAGUGUAAUAAACCUAUUAACUUAGCAGACCAGCACGCUCAAGAGAUCUUGGAAACUGGACCCCAGAUCAGUAGAUGCAGACAUGCACAUGCAGACGAAACACCAGCGCCAUGCAUGGGGCCCAAUCUCACCAUGGAAAUGCCCAAGCACACAGCUCAAGCCAUGCUGCCAUCCACAUGACGUGCGGACAGGUAUCCAUUAUCAGACUAGAUAUGUGAUAUCUGAUUUUUUUAUAACAUAGCCAUUUGCAAUCUUUUGUGGCGAUGGAACUUUCUUAGCAUAAAAGACCGCCGUUGUGUACCGUGCCUGUGGCCAGCUUAGUCGUUUCCAUUGUAUGCUUUGUGGUUUUUUAGUUCUGAGCAUGUUAUCUUUCAACAGGCUCGUUGCUGUCGGCGGUUCUGAAGACAGCGGUUCGAUCCAGCUGAAGGACGUCACCUGGCAGAAAGUUGCAGAGUGUAGUGGCCAGUAUCAAGCCACAUUGUCCAGAAACCAUCACAUUAUCUCCAGGUCACUAGUCGCCGGUGCUCGAGCUGACGGCGUCGUUCGAGGGCUCCACGGUGACAAGCGCCGUCACCGCUGCCGCCGCCGCCGAGACCAUCCGACUCCUGGGCCCUGUUUCACGGCAGCGUACUACAGCGCGCUACGCAGCGCUGCUGUGUUAGUGCGGCGAUUGAGACGAAUUCGGCUCGACGCUCCAGCGUUGCGAAACACCCGUGUCUAUGAAGGAUACGCCGAUACGUCUCCCAGCUUCAAGCCCUUCCCGCCCCCCCCCCCCCCGCCCCGUCCCAACGGUGUUGGCCGAGAUUGGGGUUUGGUAUUUUAACGGGCUCUCCGAUGACGUCCCGCAAUUUGUGUUAUGUAAUUUGACGAUUAUGUCGUAGUCUCAUUCUGUCUCGAUAUGCUAAUAAAUGAUAAAUGGGACGGAGGUUGGAAGUAAGGUGUGAGUGGCUGUAACCGGCAGGUUUUGGCGAGCGCGAUAUUAGUUAUCGUGAGCGCGCCAGCUGCGCGCUUCUGGCGAGAAAAUACUUGCUCUGGAACCUAGAAGUUUGUCGUGAAAUCUAUGUACCUUUGGAUUGAAUUAUUAGAACAUAAUGUACUUUCGGUGUCCAGCACUGCAGCUCUGGAAACAGAAAUAUGGAUGUUGGCUGUUUGAUGUAGUAAGGGCUAACAAUCCGCGUCAAGAAUCAAAAGCUGUAUGCAAAUUUAAGUGAAUAUAUUUCAAUGAAUUUUUAAAUUUUGUGAUACAAAACAUAAAUGUGUCAACUACUGAUUACACCCGGCUGCAAACACUGUAACGCUUGCAAUGCUGUACGGCAAAUAGAUAAUAUAGAUUCUC
rnacentral:lncRNA from 1 species